AUAGAAUCUUAUCCAGACUUUGCUGCGGGAUGUCCCAGGUGCUGAACAAACGGAAUCCGAGCAGUUUUUUUUUCUCUACUGCCAGCAGCACAGUGUUGCAAGAUCAAAGCAGAGAUAAAAAGUACUGGAGACAUUCAGCAGAUCUGGCAGUAUUUGUGGAGGGAAAGCAGAGCUAACGUUUCAAGUCCAGUGAUCUUUCUUCAGAACUGAUCGUGGCUUGGAAAAGCCCUCGGAGGAAAUGAAGUCCACAGAAACACCACCCUCUGGCUGAAGAAGUUCCUCCUCUUUGCAGUUCUGAAGGGUCAUCUUUCACUCUGAGGCUGUGCCCUCAUGUCUCGUGAAGAUAUUGUGAUUCAGUCAUUAACGUCAAUGAUACUGUUCUUCAAGGAGAACUUCAGAGUGUCUUCAAAGCAUUGUCUUUAUCUUCCCUUGGAACAUAGGCCGCUUGACUGUUGACAAAACAGGUCAUCAAGGAAGACAGCCUUUUAACAGCCCUAUCAGAUCAGCCCCAGUAUUAAUAAAUGUGGAACAGGCUUGAGUGGCCUACUGCUGUUCCUAUUUCUUAUGAUUUUGUGCAAAAAUGUUAUUAAGUACUGCUGAGGCUCCAGUUAGAAUAUUGCAUCCAAUUUCAAUUGCAACACUUUUGGAAGGAUGCCACCGCCUUAGUGAGAGUUCAGAAGAGAUAUAAUGCAAGUAUCAGGGAUAAAAGAUUUCAAUGACCUGGAUAGAGUAGAGAAAUGGGAUUAUUCUCCUUAGAGCAGGGAACAUUCUAGAGAGAUUUGAUAGACAUGACCUGAAGAGUUUUAAUACAAUACCAGCAGCAUACCAGAACUUAAGGAGAGUGAGGGGGCAGAGGUGAGUGUAGUGGCCAUCACUCAGGAGAAGGUGCUGGGUAAGCAGAAAGGUCUGAAGGUGGAUAAAUCACCUGGUGUAAAAUCGUGAGGGGCAUGGAUAGGGUGAAUAGCCAAGGUCUUUUUCCCCAGGGUAGGGGAGUCCAAAACUAGAGAGCAUAGGUUUAAGGUGAGAGAUGAAAGACUUAAAGAGGACCUAAGGGGCAACUUUUUCAUGCAGAGGGUAGUGCGUGUCUGGAAUGAGCUGCCAGACGAAGUGGUGGAGGCUGGUAAAAUUACAGCAUUUAAAAGGCAUCUAGAUGGGUACAUGAAUAGGAAGGGUUUAGAGGGAUAUGGGCCAAAUGCUGGCAAAUGGGAUUAGGUUAAUUUAGGAUAUCUGGUCGGCACGGACAAGUUAGACCGAAGGGUCUGUUUCCAUGCUGUACAUCUCUAUGACUACGACUAUGACUAUGACAGUAAAUAAGGAGAAAUUAUUUCCAGUGGUAGUUAAAUUGGUGACCAAAGGGCACAGAUUUAAAGUAAUUGACAAAAGGAAUAGAGUGACACAGAGGGGAAAAGAAGAGGUUAUUCAGGGUGUCGCUAUGAUCUGGGAUUUCUGAAAAGCAGAUUCAACUGUAGUUUUCAAACUGGAACUGCAGGAAAACUUGCUGGGCUGAGGAGUAAAAGCCAGUCUAUAAAUGGGAGUAAUUUGAUUGCUUUUUCAAAAGGCCCACACUGUCAGAUGGACCUAAUGGCCUCAUUCUGUUCUGGAUCAUUCCACGAGUCAAUGAAGGACAAAUAAAUGAAAUUGAGGUGCUUAUCAAUCAUGAGAUCUGAUUGAUAGACUAAGUCAAAUCAGCUGAAUAGCUUUCUCGUACUUUUAUGUUUCUUAUACUUUCAGCUGGUAUGUACAUCUGGUCUGUAUAAA